rnacentral:rRNA from 1 species
UACAGAGGGGGCAAGCGUUGUUCGGAAUUACUGGGCGUAAAGGGCGCGUAGGCGGCCUGUUAAGUCGAACGUGAAAUCCCUGGGCUCAACCCAGGAACUGCGUCCGAUACUGGCAGGCUUGAAUUCGGGAGAGGGAUGCGGAAUUCCAGGUGUAGCGGUGAAAUGCGUAGAUAUCUGGAGGAACACCGGUGGCGAAGGCGGCAUCCUGGACCAACACUGACGCUGAGGAGCGAAAGCCAGGGGAGCAAACGGG